UGCAGACGGAGAAGGGAGAAGAGCCCCGAUGGACGCUAGGCUCCGCCUCGCCGCGACCACUGCCGAGCUUGGAGCUCACAAUACUACCCUCUUCACCUCCUCUAGCCCACCCGCUCGGUCAUGUCGACAUCAGGGACUAAGCGGCUACGCUCGACUCCGUUCUCCAAUCUGUGAGGCCGAGCUGCCGGAGAGCGAGAUGGGGAUUGGGACAGAGGCGAUCGAAAUUCGCAGCGAUGGGGGCUUCUUUCCAGCAGGCGGCGGGUCGGCCUGCAGGUGGUGUACCAGAAGCCCUCCCUUUCCCGGCAGGCCAGCACACAUCUCCGUCCUUGCACUCCUUUUUCAUCCCCGUUCCGGGUGUUCCCCUUCUUCGAAUCUCAAUCCCUACAUACGGUACGCACUGCCGACGCCGCCACAACCAAUCGAACAGGCAAGUUCAACACUCAGCAGGCCAGGGUAGAGAGGAGGAGGAGGAACUAGCUACAAGGAUCUUCACUACAACCAGAUGAGCCGUCGACCUACUGGAGCUAUUGAAUGCUAAAAAAUGUCAAUGCGGUUAUGUUCCUGGAAUGGAAUCAUAUUAUUUAUCUCGGUAUAGCAAGUUGGAUAUUAGGCAAAUUUCUCAUCAAGGUUGUCGUUGCUUCUUGAAGGAGUUUCAAGAAACAAUAUCUUCUGGCAGCAGGAGAGUGAGAAGGAUGCACUUAUACUGACAAAAGUGUCCAGGAGAAUGAACUGCUUUAUCCGA